rnacentral:misc_RNA from 1 species
GCCUUAUAAGGGGCUGCUUUUCGCUUCUACGACUAGGCUCGUUCCCUAUCUGAAACCGGAACUUCGAAGGUACGGGUCUAGGUGAAUCAAUGGGAUCAUUUCCUUUCUUUAGUGGAAGUCUAAGGAGCGAAGCGCUUAGUGGUUGAAGUAGAGGAGAGCUAGAAUGAGUCAAUUUUCCUAGGGAAAGCAGGAAGGAAGAAUCGGAUCCCGGGGCACCAUCGUCCGAAGGACCUUAUCAUAAAGAAACCCACUGAGAUAGGGAGACAGUGGUCGGAAACGACCUAAGAUAAACUCCAAAGGGUAAUGCAUUUUCUGGUAAAUCAACUUAAUCCUCUCAUACUUGGGAGGAAGAAAGUGAUCAACCUUGCCAAGGGUCUUAU